UUUAAGGUCUAAUCUGCCCAAUGAGAAGUUAAAUGGCCGCGGUACUUUGACCGUGCAAAGGUAGCAUAAUAAUUAGUUUUUUAAUUGAAAGCUGGAAUGAAUGAUUGGACGAGAAAAUUACUGUCUCAAAUUAAUUUAUAUUAGAAUUUUAUUUUUAAGUAAAAAAGCUUAAAUUUUUUUAAAAGACGAGAAGACCCUAUAGAGUUUUAUAGUAUGAUAGUUAUGGUUUUUUUAGAAUUUUUAUAUUUAUAAUUUUUUUACUAUUUUAUUGGGGUGAUAGAAAAAUUUAAUUAACUUUUUUUUUUAUUUUACAUUGAUUUAUGAAUUUAUGAUCCAUUAUUUAUGAUUAUAAGAUUAAAUUACCUUAGGGAUAACAGCGUAAUUUUUUUUUAGAGUUCUUAUCGAAAAAAGGGAUUGCGACCUCGAUGUUGGAUUAAAAUAAAUUUUUGGUGUAGAAGCUGAAGUAUUAAGUCUGUUCGACUUUUAAAAUUUUACA
rnacentral:rRNA from 1 species